rnacentral:tRNA from 1 species
GGCGCAUUCGUCUAGUGGCCCAGGACGCCGCCCUCUCACGGCGGUAGCAGGGGUUCAAAUCCCCUAUGCGCUACCA